UACGGAAGGGGGCUAGCGUUGCUCGGAAUCACUGGGCGUAAAGGGUGCGUAGGCGGGUCUUUAAGUCAGGGGUGAAAUCCUGGAGCUCAACUCCAGAACUGCCUUUGAUACUGAAGAUCUUGAGUUCGGGAGAGGUGAGUGGAACUGCGAGUGUAGAGGUGAAAUUCGUAGAUAUUCGCAAGAACACCAGUGGCGAAGGCGGCUCACUGGCCCGAUACUGACGCUGAGGCACGAAAGCGUGGG
rnacentral:rRNA from 1 species